rnacentral:rRNA from 1 species
CAAUGGCAGGUACAGAGGGGUGCUACCGGGUGACCGGAUGCCGAUCUCGAAAACCUGUCCCAGUUCGGACUGGAGUCUGCAACCCGACUCCACGAAGUUGGAUUCGCUAGUAAUCGCGCAUCAGCCAUGGCGCGGUGAAUACGUUCCCGGGCCUUGUACACACCGCCCGUCAAGCCAUGGGAGCCGGGGGCGCCUGAAGUCCGGGACCGCGAGGACCGGCCUAGGGCGAAACUGGUGACUGGGGCUAAGUCGUAACAAGGUAGC